rnacentral:piRNA from 1 species
UGAGUGUCUUUCUUGCACAGGAGGACCCUCU